GAUGAACGCUGGCGGCGUGCCUAAUACAUGCAAGUCGAGCGAACAGACGAGGAGCUUGCUCCUCUGACGUUAGCGGCGGACGGGUGAGUAACACGUGGAUAACCUACCUAUAAGACUGGGAUAACUUCGGGAAACCGGAGCUAAUACCGGAUAAUAUAUUGAACCGCAUGGUUCAAUAGUGAAAGACGGUUUUGCUGUCACUUAUAGAUGGAUCCGCGCCGCAUUAGCUAGUUGGUAAGGUAACGGCUUACCAAGGCAACGAUGCGUAGCCGACCUGAGAGGGUGAUCGGCCACACUAGAACUGGGACACGGUCCAGACUCCUACGGGAGGCAGCAGUAGGGAAUCUUCCGCAGUGGGCGAAAGCCUGACGGAGCAACGCCGCGUGAGUGAUGAAGGUCUUCGGAUCGUAAAACUCUGUUAUUAGGGAAGAACAAAUGUGUAAGUAACUAUGCACGUCUUGACGGUACCUAAUCAGAAAGCCACGGCUAACUACGUG
rnacentral:rRNA from 1 species